GACGAACGCUGGCGGCGUGCUUAACACAUGCAAGUCGAACGGAAAGGCCCUGCUUUUGUGGGGUGCUCGAGUGGCGAACGGGUGAGUAACACGUGAGUAACCUGCCCUUGACUUUGGGAUAACUUCAGGGAACUGGGGCUCAUACCGGAUAGGAUCUCCUGCUGCAUGGGGGGGGUUGGAAAGUUUCGGCGGUUGGGGAUGGACUCGCGGCUUAUCAGCUUGUUGGUGUGGUAGUGGCUUACCAGGGCUUUGACGGAUAGCCGGCCUGAGAGGGUGGCCGGCGUCCUUGGGCCUGAGAUACGGCCCAGAAGCCUACGGGACGCAGCAGUGGGGAGUAUUGCGGAACGGGCGGAAGCGUGAUGCGGCAGCGCCGCGUGCGGGAUGACGGCCUUCGGGUUGUAAACCGCUUUCGCCGUUGACGAAGCGAGCGUGACGGUAAUGAGUAAGGAAGCACCGGCUAACUACGUG
rnacentral:rRNA from 1 species